CGGAACGGGUGAGUAACGCGUGAGGAACCUGCCUCAAAGAGGGGGACAACAGUUGGAAACGACUGCUAAUACCGCAUAAGCCCACGGCUCGGCAUCGAGCAGAGGGAAAAGGAGCAAUCCGCUUUGGGAUGGCCUCGCGUCCGAUUAGCUAGUUGGUGAGGUAACGGCCCACCAAGGCGACGAUCGGUAGCCGGACUGAGAGGUUGAACGGCCACAUUGGGACUGAGACACGGCCCAG
rnacentral:rRNA from 1 species